rnacentral:lncRNA from 1 species
AUCGCCUGUGACGAGGACACCGAGGACGCGAGCGGGGCCACCAGCACUGCAGGUAGCAGCUGCCGGCACGGGGGUGCUUGCCCAGGUGGCUCUGCCCGUGCCCACUGCCCACUGCCCCUGCUGCCGUGCGGAUCCCGGCCUCACGCUGCCCCUCGCCAUCCCUGCAGGUGCCAGCAGCAGCAGCAGCGUUGCCCCACUGACAGCAGUGUCGGGGAGCGUGCCGGUGCCCACGGUCCUGUGCGUGCUCCUGGGGACGUUGCUGGGCCUGGCCCUGGCAGCCCUGGCUGUGCAGGCACACCGCGCACGGCUGCAACGCCGAGACCCCGUGAAAGCCACGGAUGUUGGCGCUGAGGCCGUGUACGAGGAGCUGGAUUACAGCCUGAUGCCCGAGUACCAGGAGGUGCCCCGCCACACAGGCUCCCUGUCCGAGGGCUCGGGAAUGAAGCUGCAGGACAACAACUGGGAUGGUGAAAAGGAGGAGAGCAACCCCAGAGAGGCCCCAGGUAGGGCAAGGGGCAAUCAGUAGGGACUGCAAGGCACAGGGGACCCAAGGAGAGGGGCUAUGACGGAGCAGUGGUGCUGGGGAGAUGAGGGCACACAGCCCUUGCGGCUGCGUCCUCAGCCCCGGCCCCUCCUUGCCUGGUGCAGCCGCCCCAGCCCAGCCCGGGCACGGCCCCCCGGAUGGCUACGACGAUGCUGCGGCCGUGCCGGAGGAGCCCCCCGCUCCACACGGUGGGGACACCCCGGCGCAGCCCUGCGGGGACACGGGCUAUGACGACAUUGACAUGGGCACCCUGGGGACAGCGCCGUGAGGAGGCCCUGGGGACAUGGCUGCAGGAGGGGGCUCCAGCCCCAGGGAGGGCUGGCCCUGCCCAUGGGGUCACCCG